GCAGUGAGGAAUAUUGGACAAUGGGCGCAAGCCUGAUCCAGCCAUGCCGCGUGCAGGAUGAAGCAUCUAUGGUGUGUAAACUGCUUUUAUACGGGAAGAAACCCUGGCUCGUGAGCCAGAUUGACGGUACCGUAGGAAUAAGGAUCGGCUAACUCCGUGCCAGCAGCCGCGGUAAUACGGAGGAUCCAAGCGUUAUCCGGAAUCAUUGGGUUUAAAGGGUCCGUAGGCGGUUUUAUAAGUCAGUGGUGAAAUCCGGUAGCUCAACUAUCGAACUGCCAUUGAUACUGUAGAACUUGAAUUAUUGUGAAGUAACUAGAAUAUGUAGUGUAGCGGUGAAAUGCUUAGAUAUUACAUGGAAUACCAAUUGCGAAGGCAGGUUACUAACAAUACAUUGACGCUGAUGGACGAAAGCGUGGGGAGCGAACAGGAUUAGA
rnacentral:rRNA from 1 species